UCUUCAUCAUCUUUAAAUAAAAAGGAUAAACAUUAUGGAUUUCCAUUAUCUCAAGCAAAAACAAAGAGUUCAAAAUAUUAGUGGUAAGAACUGUCAAAAACUUGUGAUAGCUAUGAUGAAGAGAUUUAUUACAAAUUCGCUCAUGGCCAAAUCUAAUAUGGCAGCUGGAAAAGGCAAAGGAUCUUUUUAGCCUAACUAAGCUAUACAACUUAAUAAAAGUUUGUGCAUCGACUUCUCACGAAUCAUACACAGAGUCGAUUGUCGAUGCAAUAAUUGCUGAUUCGUGAAAACGGGCAACUUUUGCUUGUCUUAAAGUGCCUUAUAUCCAUCGUUAUAAUAUUACUUUGUUUGUAAAUUGUUUUAAAAAAUAAAUUUAAAAAUAACUUUUAAAUAAA
rnacentral:lncRNA from 1 species